rnacentral:rRNA from 1 species
AGAGUUUGAUCCUGGCUCAGAUUGAACGCUGGCGGCAUGCUUUACACAUGCAAGUCGAACGGGGUUAAGGGGCUUGCUCCUUAAUCUAGUGGCGAACGGGUGAGUAAUGCAUCGGAACGUACCCGGGAGUGGGGGAUAACGCACCGAAAGGUGUGCUAAUACCGCAUAUUCUGUGAGCAGGAAAGCAGGGGACCUUAGGGCCUUGUGCUUCCGGAGCGGCCGAUGUCGGAUUAGCUAGUUGGUGAGGUAAGGGCUCACCAAGGCGACGAUCCGUAGCGGGUCUGAGAGGAUGAUCCGCCACACUGGGACUGAGACACGGCCCAGACUCCUACGGGA